CGAGGAAUUUUCCGCAAUGGGCGAAAGCCUGACGGAGCAACGCCGCGUGGGGGAAGAAGGCCUUCGGGUUGUAAACCCCUGUUGCGAGGGAAGAAGAUCUGACGGUACCUCGCGAGGAAGCCACGGCUAACUACGUGCCAGCAGCCGCGGUAAUACGUAGGUGGCAAGCGUUGUCCGGAUUUACUGGGCGUAAAGCGCGCGCAGGCGGACUGGUCAGUCCGGGGUGAAAUCUCACGGCUCAACCGUGAGGGGUCCCCUGGAUACUGCCAGCCUUGAGGGGCUCAGAGGAGAGUGGAAUUCCGGGUGUAGUGGUGGAAUGCGUAGAUAUCCGGAGGAACACCAGUGGCGAAAGCGGCUCUCUGGGGGCAACCUGACGCUGAGGCGCGAAAGCGUGGGGAGCGAACCGGAUUAGAUACCCCUGUAGUCCCUGAGCGGGCUGGCAAGGCGCAU
rnacentral:rRNA from 1 species